GGAUUACGUAUGCAAGUCGAACGGUAUAAACCUUUCGGGGUUUAGAGAGUGGCGAACGGGUGAGUAACACGUAGGUAAUCUACCCUCAAAACGGGGACAACCCAGGGAAACUUGGGCUAAUACCGGAUGCGUGCAAGCAAUGUUUUGGCUGUUAAUGCUAUUCACGGAAGUGAGUAGUGUUAAUGGUUGAGAGCAUUAUUUGCAUAAAAGGUGGCAUAUGCUGCCGUUUGAGGAUGAGCCUGCGUCCUAUUAGUUAGUUGGUGAGGUAAUGGCUUACCAAGGCGAUGAUAGGUAGGCGGCCUUAACGGGUGGUCGCCCACACUGGGAUUGAGAGACGGCCCAGACUCCUACGGGAGGCAGCAGUCGAGAAUAGUCUACAAUGGACGGAAGUCUGAUAGUGCGACGCCGCGUGAACGAAGAAUCCCUUCGGGGUGUAAAGUUCUUUUAUACGUGAGCAGUGCCCUUUAUAUGAAUAGUAUAGAGGGAGGGAUUUAAGCGUAUGAAUAAGCAACGGCUAACUCCGUGCCAGCAGCCGCGGUAACACGGGGGUUGCAAGCGUUGUCCGGAUUACUAGGCGUAAAGUGCAGGUAGGCGGAUAGAUAAUUUUAAAGUUAAAGGCUACGGCUUGCCCGUAGUAAGGCGUUAGAUACUGUUUAUUUGGAAUGCGGUGAGGGAGACCGAAUUUCUGGUGUAGGGGUGGAAUGCGCAGAGAUCAGGAGGAAUACCAAAGGGGAGGGCAGUUUUUUAAGCCGAUUUGGACGUUAAAUGGCGAAGGUGUGGGGAUCAAACAGGGAUAAGAUCCCCGGGUAGUCCCCCCCAGUAAACGAUAAUCACUAGGUGUGGGGUUCGUAUAGGACUCGGUGCCGGAGCUAACGCGAUAAGUGAUUCGCCUGGGGAGUACGAUCGCAAGGUUGAAACUCAAAGGAAUUGACGGGGGCCCCCACAAGCGGUGGAGCAUGUGGUUUAAUUCGACGCAACGCGAAGAACCUUACCCGGUCUUGACAUCUGCAGAAUUCUUCAGAGAUGGAGGAGUGCCGGCUUGCCGGAGCUGCAAGACAGGUGCUGCAUGGCUGUCGUCAGCUCGUGUCGUGAGAUGUUGGGUUAAGUCCCGCAACGAGCGCAACCCCUGCUUUCAGUUACCAUCAUUAAGUUGGGGACUCUGAAAGGACCGCUGCGGUAACAACGCAGAGGAAGAUGGGGACGAGGUCAAGUCAUCAUGGUCCUUAUGACCGGGGCUACACACGUGCUACAAUGGUAGUUACAGAGGGGAGCGAAGCAGUGAUGUGGAGCGAAUCUCAGAAAAGCUACCCAAGUUCGGAUUGAGGUCUGCAACUCGACCUCAUGAAGCCGGAAUCGCUAGUAAUCGCGCAACAUCAUGGUGCGGUGAAUACGUUCCCGGGCCUUGUAGACACCGCCCG
rnacentral:rRNA from 1 species